rnacentral:rRNA from 1 species
CGCGAAUUCGCCCUUCGGGGUGCAGCAGGCGCGAAAACUUUGCAAUGCGGGAAACCGUGACAAGGGAACUCUGAGUGCCCGUUAAAUCGGGCUGUCCAUCGGUUUAAAUAACCGGUGAAGAAAGGGCCGGGCAAGACCGGUGCCAGCCGCCGCGGUAAUACCGGCGGCUCGAGUGGUGGCCACUAUUACUGGGCUUAAAGCGUUCGUAGCUGGUUUGUUAAGUCUCUGGGGAAAUCUUCCGGCUUAACCGGAAGGCGUCUCAGGGAUACUGGCAGACUAGGGACCGGGAGAGGUGAGAGGUACUCCAGGGGUAGGAGUGAAAUCCUGUAAUCCUUGGGGGACCACCUGUGGCGAAGGCGUCUCACCAGAACGGCUCCGACAGUGAGGGACGAAAGCUGGGGGAGCAAACCGGAUUAGAUACCCGGGUAGUCCCAGCUGUAAACGAUGUGCGUUAGGUGUAUCGGUGACCACGAGUCACCGAGGUGCCGAAGAGAAAUCGUGAAACGUACCGCCUGGGAAGUACGGUCGCAAGGCUGAAACUUAAAGGAAUUGGCGGGGGAGCAC